UACGGAGGGAGCUAGCGUUGUUCGGAAUUACUGGGCGUAAAGCGCACGUAGGCGGCGAUUCAAGUCAGAGGUGAAAGCCCGGGGCUCAACCCCGGAACUGCCUUUGAAACUAGAUUGCUAGAAUCCUGGAGAGGUGAGUGGAAUUCCGAGUGUAGAGGUGAAAUUCGUAGAUAUUCGGAAGAACACCAGUGGCGAAGGCGACUCACUGGACAGGUAUUGACGCUGAUGGACGAAAGCUAGGGGAGCGAAAGGG
rnacentral:rRNA from 1 species